rnacentral:rRNA from 1 species
CCUACGGGGGGCUGCAGUGAGGAAUAUUAGUCAAUGGACGAGAGUCUGAACCAGCCAAGUAGCGUGAAGGAUGAUUGCCCUAUGGGUUGUAAACUUCUUUUAUAAAGGAAUAAAACGAGGCACGUGUGCCUUUUUGCAUGUACUUUAUGAAUAAGGAUCGGCUAACUCCGCGCCAGCAGCCGCGGUAAUACGGAGGAUCCGAGCGUUAUCCGGAUUUAUUGGGUUUAAAGGGAGCGUAGAUGGGUUGUUAAGUCAGUUGUGAAAGUUUGCGGCUCAACCGUAAAAUUGCAAUUGAUACUGGCAGUCUUGAGUACAGUUGAGGUAGGCAGAAUUCGUGGUGUAGCGGUGAAAUGCUUAGAUAUCACGAAGAACCCCGAUGGCGAAGGCAGCUUACUAAACUGUGACUGACAUUGAGGCUCGAAAGUGUGGGUAGCAAACAGGAUUAGAUACCCGGGUAGUC